rnacentral:rRNA from 1 species
UGGGAAUUUGGACAAUGGGCGAAAGCCUGAUCCAGCAAUGCCGCGUGUGUGAAGAAGGCCUUCGGGUUGUAAAGCACUUUUGUCCGGAAAGAAAUCCUUGGCUCUAAUACAGUCGGGGGAUGACGGUACCGGAAGAAUAAGCACCGGCUAACUACGUGCCAGCAGCCGCGGUAAUACGUAGGGUGCAAGCGUUAAUCGGAAUUACUGGGCGUAAAGCGUGCGCAGGCGGUUUGCUAAGACCGAUGUGAAAUCCCCGGGCUCAACCUGGGAACUGCAUUGGUGACUGGCAGGCUAGAGUAUGGCAGAGGGGGGUAGAAUUCCACGUGUAGCAGUGAAAUGCGUAGAGAUGUGGAGGAAUACCGAUGGCGAAGGCAGCCCCCUGGGCCAAUACUGACGCUCAUGCACGAAAGCGUGGGGAGCAAACAGGAUUAGAUACCCUGGUAGUCCACGCCCUAAAACGAUGUCAACUAGUUGUUGGGGAUUCAUUUCCUUAGUAACGUAGCUAACGCGUGAAGUUGACCGCCUGGGGAGUACGGUCGCAAGAUUAAAACUUAAAUGAAUUGACGGGGUCAUAGCUGUUUCCU